CAGUACAAGUAAUACAUAUCACUCAGGUGAAUUCCAGCAGGCGAGUCCAUUGCACCAUAGUGCUUCAUUGGUGAGGUGAUGUCAAGGAAUAUUUUAUGCUUGAUUGCACUAAUGGAGUGGGCUAAAUCAAGAAGUAUAGGUUUGAAAGAUUACUUGACACUCAGAAUUUUUAUUUCUGUAGAAAUCAGCAAGGUCUUCAUUCUUCUAAAAUCAUCAGGGCUUGACUUUAAUUUGAAAUUGAAAUUUA